CCUACGGGAGGCUGCAGUGAGGAAUAUUGGUCAAUGGACGAGAGUCUGAACCAGCCAAGUAGCGUGAAGGAUGACUGCCCUAUGGGUUGUAAACUUCUUUUAUAUGGGAAUAAAGUGUUCCACGUGUGGGAUUUUGUAUGUAACUUAUGAAUAAGGACUGGCUAACUCCGUGCCAGCAGCCGCGGUAAUACGGAAGAUCCGAGCGUUAUCCGGAUUUAUUGGGUUUAAAGGGAGCGUAGGUGGAUUGUUAAGUCAGUUGUGAAAUUUUGCGGCUAAACCGGAAAAUUGCAGUUGAAACUGGCAGUCUUGAGUACAGUAGAGGUGGGCGGAAUUCGUGGUGUAGCGGUGAAAUGCUUAGAUAUCACGAAGAACUCCGAUUGCGAAGGCAGCUCACUGGACUGCAACUGACACUGAUGCUCGAAAGUGUGGGUAUCAAACAGGAUUAGAUACCCCUGUAGUC
rnacentral:rRNA from 1 species